AUCGGCCGCGCCGGAAUUGCCUGUCCUGUUUAGUGUGACCACGGAUGUACUGGCACCGACAAGCAGGAGUGGAAAGGUCGGGCUUGCCCGGCCUUUUUGUUU
rnacentral:sRNA from 1 species